rnacentral:lncRNA from 1 species
AUGGCAGCAGUGCUGUGCGUGUCUUUCCUUUGGCUAGAGUUAGCAUGCCGUGCUGCUCUUAAGCACUCAGAUAUGGGAAGGAUACCUCCCUCUCAGAAUCCUGUGCAGAUUACCAAACAUAGUGAAUCUGUGAGUGAUAAGAGCCUGACACUCCAGGCCCCUGUCUCACAGACAACAGUUGAUGACUUAGGAAGAGAGAGCUCCGACAGUGAAAAUAACAAUGUAGCAAACAAGGUAGCAGUGCCUAGUCAGCCACCCCCCACAUACCCGUGGGAUGACCUUAGAGGACCUCUAGACAAUAACUCAUGCAAGGUCAUCCCAUCUGCACCCAGUGAGGAUCCCCACAUUUGUGUCAGUACUCGGACACCCCAAGCUCUUAGGGCAGCUGCUAGACCCAUCCCACCUGCUACAUUUGCUGUUAAUGUAGGAGAGAAUGCAGAAUUCAGGCCCUGGAUUCCAACACCUGUAAAUGACCUUACCAUGCUAAAAAAGACUUCUCAAGAGUCAGGUCCUGACUCUCCCUACUUUGAACAAGUGCUUAAACAAUGGACAGCAAACCUUCAAACUCAUUUUGACUGGGUUGCACUGCUCAAAGCAUGUUUGUCGAGACCACAGUUUUUACAGUGGAAAGCCUCCUAUCAGGAAGAGGCUGAAACUGUGGCAAGAAAUAAUGCUGCCUAUGGAAUAGCAGUAACCUUUAAUAUGCUUACAAGCCGUGGCACCUACAUAUAUCUUCAAGAACAGGCCCACAUUGGAGUAGUUGCCUAUUUUUAUCAGGUUAGAGAUAUAGCAAUUAAAGCCUUAAAAAAUAUGAAUCCUCCCUUUCAAUUCUUGGGUUAUCAAAUCUCCUCACAUAUAUCUACAAUGGGCCCAAAUGUAAAAGUCAAACAUAAAUACUCACUUAAUGAAUUUCAGCAACUAUGUGGCCAAAUCAAUUGGCUGAAGCCCUUCCUUCCCCUAACACCUGCAGAACUUAGACCACUAUAUUAUUUACUAAUGGAUACAGCCCUUCUUCAAAAAUCACAUUGA